UCCUCUCUCCGCGCAUCGCCUCCUCCAUCCUAGCAACCCCACCGAUCUCUGCCGAGCACGGCAGCCGCCGCACCUCUCUCUAUCUCUGCCCCAUUCCCUUCUGCUGCACCACAUCUUGGUCGACCCGCCGCUUCCCCAUCCUCCGGACGAGCUCGUCGCAUCGCCAUAAUCGGGACGAGGCGCAGGCCGCCGCUCGAGCCGCGACCCAUCUCGCCGCUCGCAGCGCCGCACCGUCGUGUCGUCCCAGGGAGGAUCUCGGCUGGUGGCCGACAGAUGCAGAGCAGCCCGCUGCUCGCACCACCCGCCGCGCGCAUACUUCCCCGGGGGAACAGUGGGUAGAGCUCCGUGGCCGGCAGAUGCAGGCUGAUAACCGGCCGGCCUCCUCCAUGGAGCUCGAUCUUUCGUGGUGCUCUGCUGCUGGCCAUCGUCGACGAGCUCGAGAUGGAGCAGGGCUGUCGCCCAUGUCGUUCCCCUCAGUUUUUGACCUUUUUCGCGGAUCCGGUGGAGACGAUGCGAGAUCUGGUGGCGGAGAUCCAAGAUCUGGUGGCGGCGAUACGGUCGUCGCGGAGGUACCUCAUCCAGGGGAUGCGCACCUGCACUCUGGAUGGGCGGUGGACUGGGCCAUCGUCGCCGAGGACGAGUGGCUCGUCAUGAUCCGCUUCAGCCACGACUGGGACGAGGCUUGCUUGCAGAUGGACGAGACGCUUGCAGACCUACUAGGACUUUUGUUACAUUAGGCACCGAAGAACAUGUUUCAAGAUACCUUCCAGAAGCUGCAACUCUCAUGUUAAUGAAUAUUUAUUCACAUGAUAUAACACAAUCGGGUCAGAUUAAUUAGGAGGGCAAGCUGCAGUAACUUUACUUGAAAGUGUUGAUACUUGUACAUGAGAGAAUGACCUACCUCGAUUAUGGAGUAACUGUUUUCAGGCUGUGGCUAAGACUACUAUUUGUUGUCUGUAGUAUUAAUGAUCAUGCUUGCAUUGUUAGGUGAUCAAUUUACCAAGAAAAGGAAGUCAAGAUAGCAUAUCCGAUGGCAAUGUUCCAUGCAAUUGUUUUUGACAACUUCUGGCUGGCUGCUCAAUCUGUUAUGUGGAUAAGCUGAUGGAUGUUGGAUUUGGGCAGACAUUAGAUGAAAUUAGAUAAGGAUUUCGGUCACGACUUUUACCUACACAGCUUGCUGCAUGCUAGGACCUAAAGUUACCCUUGAUUUUCUGGCUUCAUCAGAGAAAGUUCUUGGAAGGCAGUUGUGGCAUAAAGCUCAGGCGGAUGUGGUGGCCAAGAAGAAGAAUGCCAAAAUAAAAAGCAAGUAUAAUAUCUAAAAUGAGUUCCAUAAAUUUUCUUGCGUCUGGCUUUGCAUACUCUUGCAGU